rnacentral:rRNA from 1 species
UACGGAGGGUGCGAACGUUAAUCGGAAUUACUGGGCGUAAAGCGCGCGUAGGCGGUUUGAUAAGUGGGAUGUGAAAGCCCCGGGCUCAACCUGGGAAUUGCACUCCAAACUGUCAGGCUAGAGUAUGGUAGAGGGAGGUAGAAUUUCCUGUGUAGCGGUGAAAUGCGUAGAUAUAGGAAGGAAUACCGGUGGCGAAGGCG